AGAUUGAACGCUGGCGGCAUGCCUAACACAUGCAAGUCGAACGGGAGUAGCAAUACUCUAGUGGCGGACGGGUGAGGAAUACGUAGGAAUUUGCCCUUAAGUGGGGGAUAACCCGGGGAAACCCGGAUUAAUACCACAUGACCUCGAAAGAGCAAAGUGGGGGAUCGCAAGACCUCACGCUUUUGGAGAAGCCUACGUCGGAUUAGCUAGUUGGUGAGGUAAUGGCUCACCAAGGCGACGAUCCGUAACUGGUCUGAGAGGAUGAUCAGUCACACCGGAACUGAGACACGGUCCGGACUCCUACGGGAGGCAGCAGUGGGGAAUAUUGGACAAUGGGCGCAAGCCUGAUCCAGCAAUGCCGCGUGUGUGAAGAAGGCCCUUCGGGUUGUAAAGGACACUUUAAAGUUAGGGAAGAAAAAAACUACGACGUCUAACACCAAGUGAGUCUAGACGUACCGACAGAAUAAGACACCGCGUAACUCUGUGCCAGCAGACCGCGGUAAUCGUGAGUCGGCGUGACCG
rnacentral:rRNA from 1 species